GAACUCGAGAGCGGGCGCGGUCAGGCCCGGCGCAUCCAGACGCGGUUGUCGUGGAAU
rnacentral:sRNA from 1 species